GCUUCCGGGCUGCUUUGUUUACCUAAUCAAGCCCGGGCAAUGGCGGGCGCCCCUCCCCCAGCCUCGCUGCCGCCUUGCAGUUGGAUCUCAGACUGCUGUGCUAGCAAUCAGCGAGACUCCGUGGGCAUAGGACCCUCCGAGCCAGAUAUAUUGUUGUUUAUAAUUGCACUCCUGUGUCCUUACAGGCCACUUCCUCUUUCUCUCUCUCUGUGAUCUCAGGCAUGUUGUGUGCUUCCAGCUCAAGCCGGCUCUGUGUUUUAGGCCAACCAACACAAUUCAUAUAACAUCCUUGCACAUUUCCACCAUUUCCCGCCUCACCAUGCCUCAGAGGACUACAGGCUCCCCAAGACGGGACAUGGUUGGGCAGGUACCGGAUAGAUGCUGUCACUGCUGAAAAAGAAAAAAAUAUCCAAAGUAUUCACGUUGUACCUGCUGAGUGCCAGUACUGCAUGCUCUGGGGAUUCCAUUCCUGCCCCUAUGGAAGAGGGGUCAACUUUUCCAAAACAUCAUCUUCUAGAGGAAGAAGCUGAAGCCCAGCAAGGAAAAGUAACAUAACGAAGAUCUCAGCAGAAUGACGGUUAUCUGAGCAUCUAUAUUCUGGGGUUGCAAAAAGAACAAGAACGUAGGGUUCAAUGGACCUGAGUUCCAGGCCUCACUCUGUCACCAGCUGACUGUAAGAAGCCCACCCACCUCCACCUUCUCUAGAUCACAUGUUUUAUGGCCGCCUCAAAGGCGUGAAGCAGGUGAGUCGUGCUGCCUCUGCCAACAUCUGCUUUGUGAGCCUGGGAGUAUUUCACGGAGAUGUUUCUCUCGACAGGUUUAUGGCUGGUCUUGGCUCAGUGCCUUGAAAACACUGAUCAUGUGAUGAAACGAGAAUGUCAUGCUGCGGGCCAUCAAUAAACCACACUGGCAUUCCCGCUCCCACCCCGACACCACUCCACCCAUGCAAUUUCCCUCCCCUUCAGCCUCCUCCCUCCCCACCUCCCAAAGAU
rnacentral:lncRNA from 10 species